ensembl:lincRNA
UUCUCUGAGGAAAAACUGUUCCAGAAAGAAUGAACUGCAAGUCAAAAGAGCCCUUUAGCAGGAGGGAGCAUGCCUAGAAUAGUACCUGAAUAGUACUGAGCAACAGUACCUGAGCAACAGUAAAGAGAAUAGUACCUGAGCAACAGUAAAGAGUCCAGUAAAGGGCUCCAGUGAGUGAAAUGGAAGCUAAUCACUGCCAUCAUGUUUUCUCAGACUUUCCUUCCUUAGAAAAUUCCUGUUAAAAUGAAUAAUUUUCACUUACCCACUCCCUGGAGUCACUUUGGGCUCUUGAUUGACCAUCCCCUAAGUUACCCAGGCCUUAGCCAGCUGUAUUCCACAGGAGAUGAGAGUCCUGUGCCCUUGCCAGUCUGUGGCACGCGUCCUAUCGUGCUGCAGCAACACAUCUGGCACCUGUACCGAGUCAUCUCUGAAACUUUCAGCGAAUGGAAGUGCAUAGCUUUUGUCAAGGUACUGAUCCUCCUCCUCGGAGCACCUUCUGUGAAGAGGUGGGAGCACGGUGAGGGGUCCCCCAGGCUGACAGUGAGCCCUGUCCUACAGUUCAGCCUGCCUGUGGCCCAGGAGAAGACAGAUGGCUGGUUGGCAGAGGCGGCUCAGAUGAACGCAGCUCUAGGGGUGCACAGCCCAGUGCUACAGUGCUGCAUUCGCAUGCUGAAAGAGUUUCGAAGCUACCUGCCCUUGCUCGUUAAGCUGGGCAGCUUCCAAAGGCAUAACCUUAGUUACCAGUCCCUCCUAAGAGCCAUAGGGCUAAGCAAUCUCCAAAAUAUGGAACUCCUGACACUGGGUCAGCUGCUCACUUGUCCACUGCUGGAGUUUGCGGAUCGAAUCAAUCAGGUGGGGCCCACAGGCAACAGGACAGAAGAUGGUCCAAGCCCAGGAGUCCCUUGAGAUAUGGGGCUAGUGAAUGUUGCCAUGUGGGUCUGGCAGUGUGAGUAUGAACGAGUCCGUGCCCAGGAGAACCUACAACGGCUGCAGCAGGACUGGGAAUCGCGCCGGCUGCGUCUGCUCAACUUCAUCCUUCAUGUACCUUACGAGUCAUCAGCCUCUGAGCACUGUAAGAAGCAGACAGUGUCUGGCCCCCAGUGGCAAGUGGUGAGCAAGGAUAGUGGCACCUUCAUCCUCUCAGGUAAGACUCAGCCUUAGUGACCCUGUGACUGCCUCCUGCUGGGAGCCAUUUUCAAACAUGGCAUCUACCAAGCCCUGCCAGAUCUGUCUUUAGUCAAGGGCUCAUCCUUAUGGAAGAGCCCGAAGCAUUGUUCUAUUCUGAUCCCUGCAGGAGACCGCCACACACAGUCCUCCUCCCACCCAGUGCCUGACUCUUGCAGCAAAGGUCCUCUCUUUCUGGGUGACUCAGGAAUUCCUCCUGGUUAUUUGUCUCCAUGCUUUAAUACUCUGCCUCUAGCGUGCAUCUGAUACCUGACUCGGCCCCACUUAUUUAUAUUUUUUCUUUCCUUCUUUAAACUGACCACAGGACAAACACAGGAAACCUUGAGAUUGUAGAUAACAGCCCUGUCUUGUAGAAAUUCCCAGUCUGAGAGACAGACAGUAGCUAAGUGCGUUAUGCUGCACCUUACUGAAGGCAGUACAGUCUCAGAGAGUGGACCCAUUCAAAAGACCAGGAAGAAUCAGGAAGUCUCCACUUGGGUGAGGCCUCAUGCUAACUUUUGAAGGAGGAAGGGUUUGCCAAACUUGUAAGGUGAGAAGAGCAUGCCAGAAGACAGCAUGUGUAUAGACAUUCAAGAUGAUAUCGUUGGGGAAUUGCCGGUAGAGGAG